GCCGGGCGUGGUGGCGCACGCCUUUAAUCCCAGCACUCGGGAGGCAGAGGCAGGCAGAUUUCUGAGUUCGAGGCCAGCCUGGUCUACAGAGUGAGUUCCAGGACAGCCAGGGCUACACAGAGAAAUCCUGUCUCGAAAAAACAAAAAAAAAAAAAAAAGAAAGAAAGAAAAGAAUUUAAUUUGGUUCUAGCUCAGCACUAAUGGUUUUAGUAAUCUCAGAUUUUUUUUUUUUUUUUUUUUUGGUUUUUCGAGACAGGGUUUCUCUGUGUAGCCCUGGCUGUCCUGGAACUCACUCUGUAGACCAGGCUAGCCUCGAA
rnacentral:SRP_RNA from 1 species